rnacentral:rRNA from 1 species
AUUGAACGCUGGCGGCAGGCCUAACACAUGCAAGUCGAGCGGUAGAGAGGAGCUUGCUUCUCUUGAGAGCGGCGGACGGGUGAGUAAUGCCUAGGAAUCUGCCUAGUGGUGGGGGAUAACGUUCGGAAACGGACGCUAAUACCGCAUACGUCCUACGGGAGAAAGCGGGGGACCUUCGGGCCUCGCGCCAUUAGAUGAGCCUAGGUCGGAUUAGCUAGUUGGUGAGGUAACGGCUCACCAAGGCGACGAUCCGUAACUGGUCUGAGAGGAUGAUCAGUCAAACUGGAACUGAGACACGGUCCAGACUCCUACGGGAGGCAGCAGUGGGGAAUAUUGGACAAUGGGCGAAAGCCUGAUCCAGCCAUGCCGCGUGUGUGAAGAAGGUCUUCGGAUUGUAAAGCACUUUAAGUUGGGAGGAAGGGUAGUAACUUAAUACGUUGCUACUUUGACGUUACCGACAGAAUAAGCACCGGCUAACUCUGUGCCAGCCGCCGCCGUAAAAC